AUGGAUCUAUCAAAUCCUUUAUUUGGAAUGAAGAAGAAUUGGUAUUCCUGGUCAUUUACUAUUGUUAAAGUGAAAGAGGAAAAGCUGCUUCCUGAGCAGAAGAAAUACGAAAGAUCAGGAAAGUGACUAACAACAUGGAAACCUUAAUGACGCCUAUCAAGUGCAAUAACUGAGAACACCGCAGAUUGUGGCAAGGAUAACAAAAUGGGCUGUUUAGCACAAUGACUGCCAGCUAUUGUUUUUCAAGCAAAUGACUGAGACUUGGCGAUGAUUAGUCUAUAACCAGAGGAGAGGAAAAACACAAAACAAAAUGAGAAAGAGACAGGAAAUAAAACCCACAGACAAACUUCAUAUAGACAUGAAUUUCACUCCAGAAACAGUCAAUGAUCAAAUUUACUCCUCAUAUAUGCCAAUAAAGUCAGCACAUUUACACUGGGUUAAGUUUAAUCUAAUGAGCUUGAUCACAAGUUAGCUCUCUUUCUUUGGCAAUAAAUAUUUUUCGCUGCUUGAAUACA